AGAUCGCGCUCUGGGCCAAAGGCAGGCACCAAACCGCUGCGCCACCCAGGGAUCCCUAAAAAUUAUUUUCUAUAUCUAAGUUUGUUCUCAGAAACCUUUUUUUCUAGGCAAAUAUAGAAUACAAUAACACCAACUACAAUAAUAAUCAAUAGCAUGGACAGGUAUAAUGUGGACAAAUGGCAAAUUAAAUGAUACCUGGUAUUUGUUUUGCUCUUAAAAAAAAGAUUUUUAUUUAUUUAUUCCUGAGAGAGAGAGAGAGGCAGAAACACAGGCAGAGGGAGAAGCAGGCUCCAUGCAGGGAGCCCGACGUGGGACUUGAUCCGGGGUCUCCAGGACCAGGCCCUGGGCCAAAGGCAGCACUAAACAGCUGAGCCACCGAAGCUGCCCUGUUUUGCUCUUUAGAUGAAAGACACUGGAUAAAUAUCACAGAAACACAUAAGACAUCUAGAUGCUUCCAGUGUCAAGCAUGAGACGGAAGAAGGGAGCAGAAGCUGCCAUAAUGAGGAGUAUCCUGUUCCAGAUGCAACACCUAAACACUGGCAUGUGGGAUGCCUGGGUGGCUCAGCAGUUGAGGAUCUGCCUUCAGCUCAGAACGUGAUCCUGGAGUCCCAAGAUUGAAUCCCACAUCAGGCUUCCUCCUUCAUGGAGCC